GCCAAGAAAAGAAGCUGAGCUCAUAAUGAUGAUGGCUACGAUGAUCUCAGUCUGCAACCCCUUUGUUUAUCCUUGAAAUGGAUGGAGGAAUCCUCUUCAAGCUACGAGGGUGUGCGUUGAGUCGCCACUUUCGCUUGCGAUCGACGUCGACUUCUCCUUCGCGCUCCCCGAGGCGCCUACCACGACCAUGAUCCUAUGCCUUAAACCCUCCUCGGAUCUCAGCCGCAGAUCCACCAGACUCUCUUGCUUUUCCCAUGGAUGCCGCCGCUUCUCGUCCCGCUGUAGUCAUCGACAACGGUACCGGGUAUACCAAGAUGGGGUUCGCCGGUAACGUCGAGCCAUGUUUUAUCGUCCCGACUGUUGUUGCCGUUAAUGAGUCCUUCUCGAAUCCAUCGAGGAGUUCUGGGAAGAGCAAUUGGCUUGCACAGCACAGUGCGGGUGUCAUGGCCGAUCUUGAUUUCUUUAUUGGAGAGGAAGCUCUAGCUCGAUCUCGAUCAAGUAAUACCUAUAAUCUUAGUUAUCCUAUUCGUCAUGGUCAGGUGGAGAAUUGGGAUGCCAUGGAACGUUUUUGGCAACAGUGUAUAUUCAAUUACUUACGUUGUGACCCAGAGGAUCAUUACUUCCUUCUGACCGAGAGUCCACUCACUGCUCCCGAGAGCCGAGAGUACACCGGCGAGAUUAUGUUCGAGACCUUUAAUAUUCCUGGCCUUUAUAUCGCGGUACAACCAGUGCUUGCUCUUGCCGCUGGAUACACAACUUCUAAGUGUGAAAUGACAGGAGUUGUGGUGGACGUUGGAGAUGGAGCUACUCAUGUUGUGCCUGUUGCAGAUGGUUAUGUUAUUGGGAGCAGCAUCAAAUCUAUUCCUAUUUGUGGGAAGGAUGUUACUCUCUUCGUUCAGCAGCUCAUGAGGGAAAGAGGAGAGCAUGUUCCAGCAGAAGACUGCUUUGAAGUAGCUCGAAAGGUGAAAGAAAUGUAUUGCUACACUUGUUCUGAUAUUGUCAAGGAGUAUAAUAAGCAUGAUCGAGAACCAUCUAAGUACAUCAAGCAAUGGAAAGGCACUAAACCCAAAACAGGGGCUCCAUACUCUUGUGAUGUUGGCUAUGAACGCUUUCUUGGCCCUGAGAUUUUCUUUAAUCCUGAGAUUUACAGCAGUGACUUUACUACCCCCUUGCCUGCUGUAAUAGAUAAGUGCAUUCAGUCAGCACCAAUUGACACUAGAAGGGCUCUUUAUAAGAACAUAGUGUUAUCUGGGGGUUCGACCAUGUUCAAGGACUUCCAUAGAAGAUUGCAACGAGAUCUAAAGAAGAUUGUUGAUGCUCGGGUCAUUGCAUCUGAUGCCCGUCUUGGUGGAGAAGUAAAAGCACAACCAGUUGAAGUGAAUGUUGUCAGCCAUCCAAUCCAGCGGUUUGCAGUAUGGUUUGGAGGCUCCGUACUUGCAUCAACACCUGAAUUUUAUGCUGCGUGCCAUACAAAAGCGGAAUAUGAGGAGUAUGGAGCGAGCAUAUGUCGCACGAAUCCUGUUUUCAAGGGAAUGUAUUAAAAAAGGGAUACACUCUAUCUUUGCCAUUCACUUCUUUUGGAGCCAUCCCCAAGGGCAGGUGUUUGAUGAAGUGGACUUGUUAUUCACCUCUGCCGCCAAUGUGGGCCCUGGUUUCUCUGCAGACUUCGAAGCCCCUCGAUAUCAAGUCGAUACAACACCCUUCUGAGUUUUAACUCCAUGGUUGGCAUCUGUUAAUUACAAGUAGAAGAUGAAGGGGAGGAAGAAGAAUUGCUACAAGUAUAUUUCUUGACAAAAACAAAGCUUUUAAAACAGACUUGUCGAAUAUUUCCCAUUAGGACAUAUUUAGAGGUAGAAAAUUGAAAUCUAAAUUUGGUCAGAAAGCUGUGGGUUUCCAAAGAUGAUAUUGGAGAGUUGCUUCCAUUAAGCCAUGCAUCAUUUUAUACGAGGAUGACUUUCUUAGGUUCUGUUUGUCUGCAGUGCAUAUCAUCUGAAUCAGAUAUAAAUUUCACAUU